CGCUGGCGGCAGGCCUAACACAUGCAAGUCGAGCGGAUGAGAGGAGCUUGCUCCUGGAUUCAGCGGCGGACGGGUGAGUAAUGCCUAGGAAUCUGCCUGGUAGUGGGGGACAACGUUUCGAAAGGAACGCUAAUACCGCAUACGUCCUACGGGAGAAAGCAGGGGACCUUCGGGCCUUGCGCUAUCAGAUGAGCCUAGGUCGGAUUAGCUAGUUGGUGAGGUAAUGGCUCACCAAGGCGACGAUCCGUAACUGGUCUGAGAGGAUGAUCAGUCACACUGGAACUGAGACACGGUCCAGACUCCUACGGGAGGCAGCAGUGGGGAAUAUUGGACAAUGGGCGAAAGCCUGAUCCAGCCAUGCCGCGUGUGUGAAGAAGGUCUUCGGAUUGUAAAGCACUUUAAGUUGGGAGGAAGGGCAGUAACUUAAUACGUUGCUGUUUUGACGUUACCGACAGAAUAAGCACCGGCU
rnacentral:rRNA from 1 species